AUGAAAAAUGAGUAUUCCAUGGAUGCAAGGAAAUGCCAUGACCCAGGACCAUGUCAUUGGACUGCUGAUAUCAUGUCAUACAACAGCCCUAUCCAAAAUUGUGAUGGCCAUGUCCUGCUGAGAUCUGCAACUUCAGCCAAGAGCUGGCUGCUGCCAACUGGACCAAGUGGAGUGCCCGUGGCCAGACCUGAGCACACUGCGUGGGCAUGCAGAACCAGUGAAGGUGCUGGGACCAGGCUGCUGAAGUGCCCCAGGCCUUCUCAACCCAGUGAAGCCGCAGGAUGUCCAUGGGGGUGCAAGGCCCUUCCUCAAGUACCAGAGGUCAGUCCAUGCUGCAGCUGUACACAUGGGGGCAUGGAAAUGAGGGGAAGUUGUGGGGAUAACACGGUGGCAUCUGGGUUUUGCUGGGGCUUAGAGGAGCCCCUGAGUGCCAGGAUGCUUCCGUGAAAUGUUGUUAGCCUCUGUUAGGUGCCACUGGUUUGGUACCCUCGUGAGGUCAGGCUCCCUGGGAGGCGGCCCAUACCUCUCCUGCCUGCGCAGCUCUGCUGGAAGUAUUUGUAGCUUCUACCUGAUUAUUUUAAGAACCUAUGCAAAUUUAUUAAUUUGUGCUAGGAAAAGCUUGCUGUGAUGUGUAAAUUAAGCCAUUUAAGUCAUCCUGCUUGGCAACUGAAGCACCUGUUUGCUCAAUGGGUUAACUGUUUGCUCAAUGGGUUAAUAGCCCACCAUACGCCAUGGAUGUGUAGUUGUGCUGAUGGUCUUUCACAGAUAUCCCUCCCUCUGCCUGGGCUUUUUUUUUUUUUUUUGGCUGUUGCUUCUUCACAGAGUCCUGGUGCAUGCAGGUCCUCGUGCCAUGUCUGCGUGCAGCCAGGGUAGUGGUGGCUGGGCCGAGCUCUGCUGUGGGCUCCCACAGGCCCUAUAACUGGUAGGGGAAGAGCUUCCAACCCAGUAGUUCUGCCACAUGUGGGUAGGGACAUAUUCUGCUUCAUUCCCACCCUGAGUCAGCAGCAGGACAGAGGUACUGGAGAUCAGACAGACCCUAAAUUUUUUAAUGCAUGUACUUACCUGUGAACACUAGGAGGCUGCUUUAAGGAUAUAUUAAGACAUAAAUCCUGCAGUCAGACGUACUGGUUCUCAGUCAGGCAAGCGCACACACAUGCCGGCCCCGUAUGUAUUACACAUGGUGGGCAAUUGCUAUCUCGAGAACCUAGCUGGGCACGUGUAUAUUCACAGCCGUGGGGAACAAGGUCCGAGACAGCGCAGGAGGUUCCUGGGAACACGAACAGCGGAUGAUCCCUGACAAGGGGCUCUGGAUGAAACCACGCAUCAGGUAACGAGUGCUCCUCCAGCAGCUGCUCAUAGUAAAUCAAAAAGUCGAGAGGAAAAUUUUCUCUGGUGAAUUGGC
rnacentral:lncRNA from 1 species